AUUGAACGCUGGCGGCAGGCCUAACACAUGCAAGUCGAACGGUAACAGGAAACUGCUUGCUGUUUCGCUGACGAGUGGCGGACGGGUGAGACAUGUCUGGGAAACUGCCUGAUGGAGGGGGAUAACUACUGGAAACGGUAGCUAACACCGCAUAACGUCGCAAGCACAAAGAGGGGGAGCUUCGGGCCUCUUGCCAUCAGGUGUGCCCAGAUGGGAUUAGUUAGUAGGUGGGGUUACGGUUCACUUAGUCGACGAGCCCUAUCUGGUCUGAGAGGAUGACCGGCCACACUGGAACUGAGACACGGUCCAGACUCCUACGGGAGGCAGCAGUGGGGAAUAUUGCGCAAUGGGGGCAAGCCUGAUGCAGCCAUGCCGCGUGUGUGAAGAAGGCCUUCGGGUUGUAAAGUACUUUCAGCGGGGAGGAAGGGAGUAAGGUUAAUACCUUUGCUGAUUGACGUUACCGGCUGAAGAAGCACCGGCUAACUCCGUG
rnacentral:rRNA from 1 species